rnacentral:rRNA from 1 species
AGUGAACGCUGGCGGUAGGCCUAACACAUGCAAGUCGAACGGCAGCACAGUAAGAGCUUGCUCUUACGGGUGGCGAGUGGCGGACGGGUGAGGAAUACAUCGGAAUCUACUUUUUCGUGGGGGAUAACGUAGGGAAACUUACGCUAAUACCGCAUACGACCUACGGGUGAAAGCAGGGGAUCUUCGGACCUUGCGCGAUUGAAUGAGCCGAUGUCGGAUUAGCUAGUUGGCGGGGUAAAGGCCCACCAAGGCGACGAUCCGUAGCUGGUCUGAGAGGAUGAACAGCCACACUGGAACUGAGACACGGUCCAGACUCCUACGGGAGGCAGCAGUGGGGAAUAUUGCACAAUGGGCGCAAGCCUGAUCCAGCCAUACCGCGUGAGUGAAGAUGGCCUUCGGGUUGUAAAGCCCUGUUGUUGGGAAAGAAAAGCAGCAGGUUAAUACCCCGCUGUUCUGACGGUACCCAAAGAAUAAGCACCGGCUAACUUCGUG